rnacentral:tRNA from 1 species
AGCCCUGAGGUGAUAUACCACAUUGAAUUGCAAAUUCAGAGAAGCAGCUUCAAUUCUGCCGGGGCUU